AUCGAACUUGAUUGGUUUCUAUGAGAUACUUUAAACGUUAGUGUGGAGUGAUAUUAAGGAGAGCCUACACGUCACUGCAAAUAAUUUAAACAAAAUGGUGUCCGAAGAAGUUAGAUGACACAAAAUGUGGUGUCGGUUUUUCACGUUUUGUGUCUUAGUAACCAUAGUUCUCAUGGUGGUGCUCAGUUGUAUAUAUAGACGUCCUGUGAUACAUCUCUUCUUUCACAGAUGUUGUGCUGACGAUAUUGAGAAUGAUCAAGUGAUAUUUGAGAAUUUUGGUAAUAAUUUCCUAAGGGAACGUCUAGUCGGCGCUGAGAUUGUUGAAGUAGAUAAUGCAACGUUAUACGAUGAUGAAGUUGAUAGUUCGAACAAAGAAUUCAUUACAAAUGUUCAUGAUCCAGUACAAAGAGUGGAAUAUAUAGAGAGAGUUGAUAAUUAUCUAUACAAAGAAGGAAUUGAAGCCAAAUAAUUUGAAAACACAGACAAAGCCACAACAGAAUUAAUAAGUAAUUAGACCAUUUUGGAUUAAAAAUUUGUUAUAAUUUUUAGAGAAUUUAUUAUUAUAAACGUAGCUAUUGCAUUGUGUACAUAAGAAUUAAAAAACCGAUAUGUAUUUUUAUUUUACAAAACUGAGUUUAUCCAAGUGGUAAGUCAAUAAAGUGAAAACAGUGAAACGAGGCUAGUAAAAACACUUUUAUUAUAAUAAAAUUAAGUAUUUUAAAGUUUUUUAUUAUGUUUUAAUGUGUUGAGAACAUAAUCACAACGUUCUGUUAAAUAAACAUAAUGUGGAACUAAUUGUGCAUUAAACUUAAUAUUUUCUGUUUUGUAUUUUAUUAAGGAAAAUUUAUCAAAUACAUUUAUAAAUCAAACUAAUAACCAUUAAUUCUAUACAUUAAUUCUUAACAUUGCUUGAAAAUAAAUAAAGAAAAAUUAUUCAAUAUUAUAGUUUUCUUGAAACAUUAUCAUUUGAAGGCUACCACGAUUUAGUCUGUACUGCGAUCGAAAAUGCAUUUCCGUUUAAUAUAUUUUUAUACACGGACAUUAACAGAAAUCUUAUAUCGUUCAUAUAUAUAUUAAUAGGUAUUUUAAUAUGAAACAAAGAUCAGCUUGGAGGUUAUUAGACUUAAGUCUAUAGCAUUUGCUCCACAGGACUUACAAGACUUAUCAUGCCACAUCAAUAUUCCUUAGAUAUAAUAUUAAAUAACGAUAGAAUCUUUACAGAUCAAAAAUCUUAUUGCUGAUAACUAUUUAUUGAAUUGAUAACAUUAUACAUGAAAUUGGAAAAGAACUCAAGUAAUUGUUACGUACGCGCAACAUAUUAAAAAAUUAAUGAACAUCGCCGGGGAAACAUCGUUGUAUGGAUGAAAUUUCAUAUAACGAAUGACGUUGCUGACUCCGCGGAACGAACACCAAGCAGUGUGAACCAGAAGAUUCCUGAUACCACACAGGCUAUGGAAUGGUAUUGCUGUCCUAACAUCGGGGCAAUCAUGUAGUCUUAGGUAUAGGUUAUAAGUUUUAAUAUGUAAUUCUUAUGAUAAUAUACAUAUAAGUACGUUUUAAAGUUUCCUGGAACCUCCGGUUGAAACCUUUAUAAUUGAAUGAAACUUAUUUUAAAAGUUAAAAUUUUAAAAAUAAAUAAAAACAUGAAAUAUAGUGUCAUGUGUAAUGGACAAAUAAUUUAUAGCGAGAGCAGCGCAUAUCUAUUCGUAAUGUAAACUAAUGUCAUAAAUUGAAUAGUAACUUUACAUGUUUGUCUACCUAUUUACGACAGAAAUAACUAUAAUAAUAUGACGGGAUCAAUUUUAUAAUACACAUAUAUGAACAGUCAGGUGUAUUUUAAUAAGCAAGAGUGGAAUUUCAGUCUAAAAUAGAAUGUCACAUGCAGUUAAUACUUCAGUUGGAAAUCCAAGACAUUAAAGUUCAAAUAGGUUUAUUGCUUUUUAUUCAUUAAAGUACCACUGAAUGAUAAAAUUAUUAACAUUUAACCUAAAUGCUAUGUUAGUGAAAAUAAAUUGAAGUAUUUUCUAAUGCGUAGCUCAAAAACGAUCUUCACUUAUAAAUUCAUAACUUUAUAAAUAUUUACUGAAUUCCAAUUAUUCUAUGUAUAUAAUCAGAUUUUUAUAUUUUUUGUAAGGAAAGUACAUAUAAUGCUAUCAGUUUGUACUAUUAUUUCGGAAAACUUAUAUACUAAUUCUCGCAACGGCAUUCUGUUAUUGCAACGAUAUCAGUAUCUUACAUAAAAUCUUUCCUUUAAACCCAAUAGCACAGAAGUUCAUCGAGAGCAAGCGGAGUCUGGUGUUUUAUGUAUUUGCCAGACAUUGUAAAUGAGGCGACUGUGCCACUUUAACGGAUCAUUUGAUUUUUGUUCCACUAUCUCGUUGAUGCAGGCUCCUUUAGUUAUUUCAGAUAAGUUCACUGUCAAGUAGUGCGUGAAUGGGCUACAUUAUAAAAUGUUCCAACUUAUUUUUUAAACAAUAAAAUCAUUGAAAUUUAGUA